rnacentral:rRNA from 1 species
UACGGAGGGUGCAAGCGUUAUCCGGAUUUACUGGGUUUAAAGGGUGUGUAGGCGGAUUUUUAAGUCAGAGGUGAAAUCUCCAGGCUCAACCUGGAAAACUGCCCCUGAUACUAUUAGUCUUGAAUAUUGAUGAGGUGGGCGGAACGGGUCAUGUAGCGGUGAAAUGCUUAGAGAUGACCCGGAACACCAAUUGCGAAGGCAGCUCACUGGGCAAUUAUUGACGCUGAGGCACGGAAA